UGCGCCUUGCCAGCCCGCUCAGAAACUUAAAGGAAUUGACGGGGGCCCGCACAAGCGGAGGAACAUGUGGUUUAAUUCGAUGAUACGCGAGGAACCUUACCUGGGCUAGAACGCAUUCGGAAUCAGGCCGAAAGGCCUGCGCCAGCGAUGGCCGCUUGCGAGGUGCUGCAUGGUUGUCGUCAGCUCGUGCCGUGAGGUGUCGGGUUAAGUCCCAUAACGAGCGCAACCCCUACUGCUAGUUGCCAGCGGGUCAUGCCGGGGACUCUAGCGGAACUGCCAGCGUAAGCUGCGAGGAAGGUGGGGAUGACGUCAAAUCAGCACGGCCCUUACGUCCAGGGCUACACACGUGUUACAAUGGCCGGUACAGAGGGCAGCCACCCCGCGAGGGGGCGCGAAUCCCGAAAGCCGGUCCCAGUUCGGAUCGGAGUCUGCAACCCGACUCCGUGAAGCUGGAUUCGCUAGUAAUCGCGCAUCAGCCACGGCGCGGUGAAUACGUUCCCGGGCCUU
rnacentral:rRNA from 1 species